rnacentral:rRNA from 1 species
CUAGGCUUGACAUCCCUAGACAAUCAUAGAAAUAUGACUUUCCCCUUCGGGGGACUAGGAGACAGGUGCUGCAUGGCUGUCGUCAGCUCGUGCCGUGAGGUGUUUGGUUAAGUCCAGCAACGAGCGCAACCCUUGUUCUUAGUUGCCAUCAUUCAGUUGGGCACUCUAAGGAGACUGCCGGUGUUAAACCGGAGGAAGGUGGGGAUGACGUCAAGUCAGCAUGGCCCUUAUGCCUAGGGCUACACACGUACUACAAUGGUUGGUACAAAGAGUCGCAAGACCGCAAGGUGGAGCUAAUCUCAAAAAGCCAAUCUCAGUUCGGAUUGAAGUCUGCAAUUCGACUUCAUGAAGCUGGAAUCGCUAGUAAUCGCGGAUCAGCACGCCGCGGUGAAUACGUUCC